UGAGGGAAUUUCACAUUUGCU
rnacentral:siRNA from 1 species